AGUGUGAGUCAGGGGUUAAGUACAAACUACUCUGGGUGGUCAUGGCAGGGAAAUCCCUAUCCUUUGAGGGUGCUUUCACUUUCGUUUGUCCGAGAUAGGAGAUAAGCUGGAAAGAAGAGCUUAAGGAAAAAUGCGGGACAAAGAGGGGUGCCACACCAUUGCAGAGUAACAGGAACUGGAUUUGCCCUCCUGCCUGAAACAACAAAACAACAAAACCAGACAAAAUACCUGAAACACAGAUUUUCAAGGUAUUAGACAUCAGGCAAAGAGGACAGUGAUCCCUGAGGGAUGGAAAACAAACAGAUCGUUAUCCUGGCCACCUUAUUGCAACCGAGGGCUCAACAGACUCACCAACAUCACCAGCAGCACCAAGCCCCACCCGUCCACCCCACCUUUGCUAUCUGCACCAUCUACUCACUGGGAAACCUUCCAGUCAGUGGAGAAACCAAACAUUAAGGAAGCUGCUGAAGCAGUGGAAACCUCCACGUCAAUAUCUGCAAGAAAAACAAAGAUCUCAAACCACACCCUCUGUUAGACAUUGACUUGGAAGAUAAAGAUCAGCCUGAACUACUAACUGGCUCUUCUAUAACCCAGCAUAAAAGACAACCAGCCCUUUCACUCCUGACGUGAAUUCUGCUCUGCUCAUAAACAUUUCAUAGCAGAAGGAUUCGUGAUGUACUUGACAGAAACUGUGCAGCACAACCAGCAUCCCUAAGGAGAUGGAAGCCAAGAAGGAGAUGUCUUGGGUCCUCCACCUGUCACCUGCCUGAGAACUAGAGUAUGGGGUGGGGUUUGGCCCUCCUUUCUCCGAUCUACCAUCAGUCGUGACAUCAUUUUCAGCCGUGCCCUGUAUCUAACUCUUCACCCGUGUCAACUGGGUUGACUACGGUGGUUGGGAGUCUACAGGGAGCCCAGGAUGCCAGGCAAGGCUGAGUGGAGGUGUGAAUCAGCGCUCUCUUCCUGCCGUAUUCCUCCCACCCCCCCCAGGCAUUGUGUGACUGACUUUCAAGGGUCUCUGCACUUAAACAUAUUGCUACCUGCCAGAAAUUUCAACAUGUGCAAGAUCUUGCUGGAAGCACGGAAGCACAGCCCGGUGUGUGUGUGGCUGUCAUAAGGAAACUCCUAUAAGAGAAUCCACCUGUGCCAGGGCAUCUGAGAAAGGGGAGGAGGUGGCUAGAGAUCGCGCCACCACCGCCCAUCCCAUUAAAUAAGAUGAGUGGUUCAGAGCCGGACGGGCAUUUGUGAAUCCCAUUCUUCUAUUGGCUACAGGAAGCUUGAUUUGCGUGUGGAUCAAAGAAAAGCUACUUAUCGCUACUGGAAAUUUCCUUCUAAUUCACUGGCAUUGUUCCACAGGGUGAGGGGAAGCAAAGGCUAGAUUCACUCACAGAGGGGAGCCUCAAAGCCAAAACAUCAAGGGAACAGCUCAAAACGUCAAAAAACAGCCUGACCUAAGUUCUCCCACAUUUCAUCUUUUCAAAAAUCACAAGAAAAAGAUGAGCGAUCCAAAAAGAGCAAAUUCACUUUAAUUUCCGCUUAAAUACCUCAAAGCAAAAAGUCCAAGGGUUCAGACUCUUCUCCCACCUGACAGACAAGGCCCUUGUUAUUCUCCCCUCUCCCUUUCCCGCCUUGUGCUGAAAGUCUACUUUCCAAGCCGGUGGGGGCCACCGCGAAUCGAGCUGGCGGUUGCCAGAGCAUGCGUAUUGCUUCAGAAUAAAAGAAGUCGAACAUUUACAUCUGAACGUCUCAUUGAUUUACCACAUCGCCACACGGGUCUACAAACAAAGAAAGACUGGCUUUGAAACACAUACCAUUGCAAAAACAGUUUGGCAGGUUCUUAAAAAAUGACACGUAUACUCACCAUAUGUCCCAGCCAUUCCACUGCUAGGUAUUUACCCGGGAAAAAAGGAAACACAUGUCCAUACAGAAACGUUCACAUGAAUGUGAGAUAGCAGUUUUAUUUGCAUUAGCUAAAACCUGAAAGCAAUCCAAAUGCCAAUCAAUAACGAACAAAUAUGGCACAAACAAAAUAACCAAACAAAUUGUGGCAUAGUCAACAUAGUGGAAUACUACUUAGCCGUGAAAAAGGAGAGAUUGUGGUACAAACCACAAUGAGCAUAAAUCAAAAUAACUAUGCUGAGUGAAAGAAGCUAGACAAAAUUUAUAUAAAACUUAUUUAUAUAAGUUUUUAAAUAUAUUUACGUAAGUUCUUAUAAAUAAGAAUUUAUAUAAAACUCUAACAAAUGCAAACGAAUCUGUGGUGGCUUACAGGAGAUCAGUGUUCGCCUUGGGGGAAAGGGUGCAGGGAAUGAGGGGAUGGAAAGGGGACUUGAAGAAAUUCUGUGUUCACUGUCUUGAAUGUGAUGAUGGGUUUACCGUACAUGUUGAGACUUGUCCAUUGUACAUGUUAAAUGUAUUUUUAUUAUAUCAAUUACGCCUCAAUAAAGCUGUUUCUUUUAAAAAAAGAACCAUGAUGUGUACCUAACAGGGAUGACUUAUAUACUCCUGCCUUAAACAACUAGAAAACCAGAAAACUAUAUGAAACAAUAAUUUCCAACACUGGACAACAGUCAAGGCAGGACUAUGAUCUCUGAGAGAAGGGAACAAACAGGUGAAUCCUACAAUGGUACCAGAUCACUGCCUAGAGAAAACCCAAAUGAGACCUGGUGGUCUCAAAGAGUGAGGAGACAGGAGUUCUGAGUUCUGCAAGGUCAAGGCAGCUCAACUUUGCAGGGCAGAGUACCAGAGCGGAGCAGCUCUACAAAUAGAGACAACUCUAGAGACUGUCAGAUAAAAACCUCAAGUCUUUAAUUUCUGAUCGGUGGCUGCACAUGAAGAAAUUCCUCCAGGUGGGGGAAAGAACCCCGUGAAAGUCUCAGACAGGACAAUUCUUGGAGUGCUUACAGGGCUAGAAAGGACUGGUAUUCUCACUAGCUGAAGUAGAGACUUUGUAGUACAUGGGUAGCAUCCUCAGAAGAGUAUUAUCUUGAGGUGCCUGGGUGUCUCAGUCUGCCUUCGGCUCAGGUCAUGAUCCCAGGGUCCUGGGAUGGAGCCCUGCAUCGGGCUCCCUGCUCCGCGGCGAACCUG